UAGAUGGCGCGUCGCCCUCAGCCCUGGCCACCUAUCGUUCAGGCUUAUUUUAAAUACUUGACUUUGGUUUUCUUUUUUGCCCAAUGUUGGUUCCUCAACAACAAUACCGUCUCGUAUGAUGAAAAACCGACCUUAGCCCACUAAAGCCUCCCUAUUUAAAUAGUUAAACUACUUGAGGUAAAUGGCGGAAAAUAUUAACGAUUGUAAAUUCUUCUUGUGGAUUCAUGCCAUCUUUCCUCUGAACUUAAAAAAAACUAUAUUUUUCACCUGAACUGCGCUAACAUUAUUAAAUUUUCAUUAUUUUCGGUGGAAAAUUGAGAAAGCCAUUUAUGCUUUCGGCCAAUGAAAAUUGUCAAAAAUGUUAAGCAAAAUAUAAAGCUGCAACAACAUGUUUUACAAUGCUUUUUUGAGGAUUUUCAUUGGCCGAAAGCAAAAAUCAAGUUCCAUGUUAAGUACAUGUUUAAGUACUUAAUUUAAAAGUAUCGGUUAUUACCGAUUCAUACCCGAUUCAAAUAAAUACCCAUAUAUACUGUCUCAUUUUCAAAAAAUACUGACGAAUUUAAGUUCCAUCAUAUAUAUUCCUCGUUUUUAAUAUUCCGUCGAAUAUCUAGAUAGAACCCUCAGCGUACCCUGCUUAGCGUACUGGGCUAAAAUUUAAUCAAAAGUUAAAUAAUAGGCCAUAUAGCAAAUAACGGGUUCGAGUACCGUAGUACUUUUCUG